rnacentral:rRNA from 1 species
AGUGAACGCUGUCGGCGUGCCUAAUACAUGCAAGUCGAACGGAGUGGCGCCCUGGUGAGUAAUAUAUAGCUAAUCUGCCCCUUGCUGGAGGACAACAGUUAGAAAUGACUGCUAAUACUCCAUAGCAAGGGAUGCGACUAUAUCGUAUCCGCUAGUCGGUGGGGUAACGGCCUACCGAGGCUAUGACGCGUAACUGGUCGGAGAGGAUGAUCAGUCACAUUGGAACUGAGACACGGUAAAAACUCCUACGGGAGGGAGCAGUAGGGAAUAUGGCGAAAUGGGGGAAACCAUGACGAAGCAACGAGGCGAGGAGGAUGACAAUUGUCGGAGAGUAAACUACGUUUGUGAGGGAAGCGGUAACUAACGAAUAAGCACCGGCUAACUCCGUGCCAGCAGCCGCGGUAAUUC